rnacentral:rRNA from 1 species
AGCGUUGCUCGGAAUCACUGGGCGUAAAGGGUGCGUAGGCGGGUCUUUAAGUCAGGUGUGAAAUCCUGGAGCUCAACUCCAGAACUGCCUUUGAUACUGAGGAUCUUGAGUUCGGGAGAGGUGAGUGGAACUGCGAGUGUAGAGGUGAAAUUCGUAGAUAUUCGCAAGAACACCAGUGGCGAAGGCGGCUCACUGGCCCGAUACUGACGCUGAGGCACGAAAGCGUGGGGAGCAAACAGG